AGAACCUGAACAAAAGACCCAGUCCCAUUUAACGGCAAAUUUGACAGUAACUCAGAUGAAAUUAUUAAUGUUUAGUAACCAUUGGAAAACCAUGAAGCUAGAGGAAGAAAAGAUGUUAAAGUGAGGAACUAAAGGCAGCCUGAGUUGGUGCAAAAGACUGAAAUUCUGAAGCUGAAAGUCGGGCAAGCAUGGUAUAGGGGCCUCACUGAACUGGAGAGUCAAACACACAAGAACACGAUGGUAGAGUAGGAGCUGUGCAGCCACACUUCUGACAGAAAUCUCCUCAUUGGGCAUCAUUGGGAUGUUCUGGCCCAAAAUACAGAUAUCAAUUUAGACUGUGUUUCUAGAGUAACAGCUAGACAAAGCAAGAAUUGAAAGACAACAGAUGGUGCAUCAGAAUUCUAAUGUCAAGACUGUUUCCUCAAAAGGCCAAAAAAAGAAAAAGGUAGAAACAGUGCUGAAGUUCUAAACAAUGCGUUUUCUUCUCUGGAGUGGUCAACUUCAAUUAAAUGGAUGUUGUCAUGCAGGAGAGUUUCUCAGGAACAGCAGAGAUUGUUAAUCCUUAGACCGCAAAGCACAUGACCAAGGGCUCAACAAACAACAGCAACAACAAAAAGGAGUUGACCAGAGUAUAGCAUCAUAGGUGCACAGAAAGAAAAGUUUGAAGAUCACCAGGUGCACAUGGGAAGAGAAUUGGAACAUGUGAUGUAUUUCCUUCAGGUCUCUGCUUAAAUGGCCUGUGAACAAAGAGUGCCAAACCACCCGUCAGAAACAGCCCUCCCUCCACUUGUGUUGGACUCAGCCUUGUGCCCUGCUUGACUUUUCUUCAUAGCUACUGUUGCUGCCUGAGAAUUAACAUACCGUUUGCUUCUCCCGCUAGACCAUGAACUCAGGGAGGAUGGGAAUUUAUCUGCCACUGUACUCCCAGAGCCUAAGAUAAUGCUACCAUGUAGAUGGCUCCCAAUAAAUAUCUUUUGAAUGAAUGACUGCAUGAAGAAAUGAAACAGUCCUUGAGGAAAGAAUCCCACAUGUAUAGGGGACAGCACUUGGAUGUCGUAUUAGAGAUGCUCAGGUUUUAAUCCUGAGUCUCUGGCUUUCUAAAUGUGCAGCAAGGUACUUGAAAAUUUUCAACAAGUCCCAAAGUGGUGUCAUCUAAAUUCUGAAGGUGUGGAGCAUUCUACCAAAUGGCUCCAUCCUCCCAUCUUUGGAGGAAUAUCGAACAGAGUAAGAGAGACUGUCUUCCCUUAUGAACCAGCUUUGUGAUCCCAGCCCAAGGUUUUUAUCCGAGCAUGAACCAUCUGGCUUUGCGUGGGGUGAAAGUGUGUCAGCUUCCCCGAAGAAUUUCAGCAUCAGAACAACAACAGAGGUGCAGAAAAAAGCACUUUAAGAGUUCUGAGAACCAUUUGGACUUUUCCAGUGGAAUGCUUUUCCUGACUUUAGAUACACAUCCUGAGUGGGCAAAAGGAUGUGUGGAGAUGCUAUGAAGCAAGCAGGGAGGUGAGGUAGAAAGGAGCAAUUUUCAUAGUCCAAAAUGAAUAGAAUUCUGUUCACCCUUCUGUUUGCACCAGAAGAGGUAUUGAUCCUUUGCAAUGCCCCCUACUUCGUUUCUUUGAAGAUGGAAGGCGCCUGCAGGAGAGCAGACUGGAGCUGCACUGUUCUGAGAACUGCAAGAGAUAGAAAGAGAAGAAGACACAGUCCUUGACUUCAUCGAGUUCACAGCUAAGUGUCUGUGGGGAGAAAAUAAAAAGAGAUAAGAAAGAAAGCUCUAUGAAGAGACUACAGCCAAAAGGUACAACGCUCUGCCUGGACAGUUUUUCUAAAGGAAUCGUGAUUUAACUACGGCAUUCUCCCAACAAAUACUGCAGUAGAAAUCUCAUCAGACGAUGAUCUGAAGUCUAUCCUUGAAAAGAAAAGUACUGUGAGUUCCCUAAGGCUCUUUCUCUGCCUGUUGGCUGCCGCACACCAGUGCCUGGUACAUGGUGCUUAAUAAGCAUGUGGUAAAUGAUAGAAACCAUUCCAAGAUGAAAAGCCUUCUUUCCUGCUGCAGAGGCUGGAAAAGUCCCUUGUUCUCGAGCACAGCAAAAUGACCCAGCUGCACCGGAGACACAAGCGAGAUCUACACGAGUGAGAGAUACGAUGCUGAGCCUUGGAAUCCCAACCUGCUAUUUGUUGAAGUACUUGGUUGGAAUUAAAAUGACUUUUAAAGGAGA
rnacentral:lncRNA from 1 species